rnacentral:rRNA from 1 species
AUGAACGCUGGCGGCGUGCCUAAUACAUGCAAGUCGAGCGAACGGACGAGAAGCUUGCUUCUCUGAUGUUAGCGGCGGACGGGUGAGUAACACGUGGAUAACCUACCUAUAAGACUGGGAUAACUUCGGGAAACCGGAGCUAAUACCGGAUAAUAUUUUGAACCGCAUGGUUCAAAAGUGAAAGACGGUCUUGCUGUCACUUAUAGAUGGAUCCGCGCUGCAUUAGCUAGUUGGUAAGGUAACGGCUUACCAAGGCAACGAUGCAUAGCCGACCUGAGAGGGGGAUCGGCCACACUGGAACUGGGACACGGUCCAGACUCCUAAGGGAGGGAGCAGGAGGGAAUCUUCCGCAAUGGGCGAAAGCCUGACGGAGCAACGCCGCGUGAGUGAUGAAGGUCUUCGGAUCGUAAAACUCUGUUAUUAGGGAAGAACAUAUGUGUAAGUAACUGUGCACAUCUUGACGGUACCUAAUCAGAAAGCCACGGCUAACUACGUG